UACGUAGGUGACAAGCGUUGUCCGGAUUUACUGGGCGUAAAGCGUGCGCAGGCGGCUUCGCAAGUCAGACGUGAAAUCCCCGGGCUUAACCUGGGAAUUGCGCUUGAAACUAGCGGGCUUGAGUGUGGCAGAGGGGGGUGGAAUUCCACGUGUAGCAGUGAAAUGCGUAGAGAUGUGGAGGAACACCGAUGGCGAAGGCAGCCCCCUGGCUCGUACCUGACGCUCAGCCACGAAAGCAUGGGGAGCGAACGGG
rnacentral:rRNA from 1 species